CUUCAAACACCAGUUCAUGUAUGAUCAUUGAAGUUAAGCAACAUUAAGCCUGGUUAGUAUCUAGAUGGGUGACCACUUGAGAACCCUAGGUGCUGUAA